CGGUAGCCGGUCAGACAAAUGCAGCGGGGCUAACUCCGCCAGGUCGGGAACGAAGCAACGGUAACUUUUGUUGCAUUGUGUUUGUAUCGGCUGCCCCUUU
rnacentral:SRP_RNA from 1 species